UACGAAGGGGGCUAGCGUUGCUCGGAAUCACUGGGCGUAAAGGGCGCGUAGGCGGUGCGGUAAGUCUGUAGUGAAAUCUCUGGGCUCAACUCAGAGUCUGCUGCAGAAACUGCCGUGCUUGAGUGUGGGAGAGGUGAGUGGAAUUCCCGGUGUAGCGGUGAAACGCGUAGAUAUCGGGAGGAACACCUGUGGCGAAAGCGGCUCACUGGACCACAACUGACGCUGAGGCGCGAAAGCUAGGGGAGCAAACAGG
rnacentral:rRNA from 1 species